GAUGAAGAACGUAGCGAAAUGCGAUACGUAAUGUGAAUUGCAGAAUUCAGUGAAUCAUCGAGUCUUUGAACGCACAUUGCGCCCCCUGGUAUUCCGGGGGGCAUGUCUGUCCGAGCGUCAUUGCUGCCCUCAAGCACGGCUUGUGUGUUGGGCCUCCGCCCCCCGGCUCCCGGGGGGCGGGCCCGAAAGGCAGCGGCGGCACCGCGUCCGGUCCUCGAGCGUAUGGGGCUUCGUCACCCGCUCCGUAGGCCCGGCCGGCGCCCGCCGGCGACCCCCCUCAAUCUUUCCAGGUUGACCUCGGAUCAGGUAGGGAUACCCGCUGAACUUAAGCAUAUCAAUAAGCGGAGGA
rnacentral:misc_RNA from 1 species